rnacentral:rRNA from 1 species
AUACGUAGGGGGCGAGCGUUGUCCGGAAUGAUUGGGCGUAAAGGGCGCGUAGGCGGCCUGUUAAGUCUGGAGUGAAAGUCCUGUUUUCAAGAUGGGAAUUGCUUUGGAUACUGAUGUGCUUGAGUGCAGGAGAGGUUAUCGGAAUUCCCGGUGUAGCGGUGAAAUGCGUAGAGAUCGGGAGGAACACCAGUGGCGAAGGCGGAUAACUGGACUGCAACUGACGCUGAGGCGCGAAAGUGUGGGGAGCAAACAGGAUUAGAUACCCUGGUAGUCCACGCUGUAAACGAUGAAUGCUAGGUGUAGGAGGUAUCGACCCCUUUUGUGCCGGAGUUAACACAAUAAGCAUUCCGCCUGGGGAGUACGGUCGCAAGGUUGAAACUCAAAUGAAUUGACGGGG